ACCAUAUAAAAAGUAGGUCAACAAAUGAAGAAUGACAAGAAAUGAAAGCCCAAUUAAACCUUCAUAUUCUGGGCCUCUAGAAGCCAAAUUAAAUGGACAUUUGGUACAUGAAAAUGAACUGGUCAGCCGGAUGUUUAUUUCUCUUUCGGGACAAUACCGCGUGUAAUGCUAGUAAUAAAAUCGUUAAAUCUUACAUUCAGACAACCAAUAACUCCGAAUAAAAAGUAAGAUCAGUUGAUAAACAUUACACAUAAGACUAUCUAAGUAACAAGAGAAAAAAGUUAGGGCUGUAUCUUUACUAAUUUGAGCCUGUAAAUGGUGCUUAGCAUGCUUUAACCAAGGCUGCGUCUACGGUUUGUUGAUGAUGGUGCAAUUUCAAUGGCUCUAUUCGUGCAUCUAUAGAGAGAAAAUGCGCAAAAAGUUCAGUUUGCCGGAACAACCUUGUUGUGAUUGUUGCGUUCAUUUCUGCUGCGAAUUAUGUGCCCUUUGUCAAGAGCAUGCCGAGCUCAAAGCUAGAGGCUUUGAUCCCUCCAUCGGUUGGACUGGGCAACCAAAUGCUGUUCCAAAGAUGCAUUUCUCGAUGUUUAAAUAAAACAGUAGCCAUCAAACUACAGGAGGAACCAACAAACAAUUCAAAAGUCAAGUUGUUUCAGAGGCAAAUAAAGUCUUUUUCAAUUUUCAAUUAGUGAAAAGCUUUAUGCGUCAGUUGAUAAAUAAUUACGAGUCCUUUACGAAGCGUGAGGACUUCCUUUCCUCUCUUUUCUUCUUCAUUUCAUAAAUUCAUAUAGUGGAAUUCAAGGUGAACUAUUGAAUAGCUUUCUAAGCCUUUUGAUCAAUGUCUCCCUCACGUGUACUCCAUGCUUUUGGAAAUAAGAAGGAAAUUCAAGAGAAGCUAUCUAGCUCGAAUUGCACAUGCCAUAUGAAGCUACUUUUGUUA